rnacentral:rRNA from 1 species
AUGUUCGAGAAUUUCAGAAAAUGUUUCGCUUUUAAAAAAGUUUCAAUGUUUCAAAAAAAGUUUCCUGUUAUGAUUUUUUUUCUAAUAUUUCAAAAACAAUCGCAUAUAGAAAAUGUUCAGGAUUUUGAACAUUGUUUCAAAAGAAUUCAUGAUUUUUCCAAAAAGUUUGAAUUUUCAAGUUUAUUCGAGUUGUUCAAACAAUUGUUAGAUUUUCAAACAUUACUCGCUUUUCAAAAAAUUCCAGGAAAAAGACACCCCAAUUCUGCGUUUAAUUUUGUUCUUAAACUUAUGCACUCCUAUUUAGUCACAAACGCUUGUUAG